rnacentral:snoRNA from 1 species
UCACAAUGAUGAACUGGAUGGGAGAGGUGAGAGGAGCCAUGAUUUUUUUAAGUUAAUUGGAGAAAUUAUGCUCGAAUCAGGCUCUAGGAGUGCUGUGAUGGACAAAGGGGCAGCUGACACUGUGACGACCUCAUUCUGUGUUCCUUGGCGGGCUCUGGGAAGAUGCUGGGCUUGGCAUCCAUCAGCUUAGUCACACAGGGAUUUGAUUUUUGGGAGUGCUGGUCCCUGUGGCUAUGAUCUGACAUUUUCAAGCUGAGA